ensembl:lncRNA
AAACAAACAAACAAAACAAAACAAAAAAGUGAUGCAACAGCAAUUGCUUACCACCAGCUUACUGAUGCUUAGCCAUUCCCAGAUCAACAACAACCCCUUGCAAGCUCCCUUCCCUUCACUUAUACUGAAUGAGACAUUCCUUUGUUCAGUUUGGGUCAUCUAUCCAUGUUUUGUUCUCUCAGCUUCUUGCACACCCAAAAUUUACUUGCUGGACAGGAGGCAGACUGAGAAACAGAGAAAAUAUUGUUGAAGUGCAAACACUGUUCAGUAUUAGCUAAAAUGUAAAGACAGGGAAAGUUCAAAGAGAUAAAGAAAGAAAAUUUGCACCUGAGUUUCAGAAUAAUUAUAUUUCUGCAAGCUUUAUGAUUAGCUUUUUCUUGGUACUGCAAAAAAAAAAAAAAAAAGAGAGAGAAAAAUAAGAAAAGAAAAAAAAAGAAAAGAAAAGAAAAGAAAAGAAAAGAAAAGAAAAGAAGAGAAGAGAAGAGAAGAGAAGAGAAGAGAAGAGAAGAGAAGAGAAGAGAAGAGAAGAUAAAAGGUUAAUUUCGAAUGUGUACUCCUUUCAUUCUAAGUCAACAACAACAACAAAAUCUAUUUGAAAGGGCUAUUAAGAGGUCAUGGAGGCAAUAUUCUGCUGAAAGAGAAUUAACAGCAGUGGAACCAUAAAGCUGCUGCUCCUCCAGAGGAAGACAAGACUUUGAAAAUCACCUUGAAACUCAAUAAUAAAGAAAGGAGAGUAGAUAUCAAGAAGCUACAGUAUUCUGAGAAAUAAAAAGUGAUACUUUGUCCUUUGGUGAUGGUGGUAUGGCAGACAAGUGAAUGACAUUUUCUUUACCAUGGGCUACUAGAGACAGAAGAAAGGAUCUCUGCCCACCACUCUUCUGAGAAGCCACCCAAAUUAACUUAAUUCUGGUCAUUCAUGGUCAUUCAAGAGAAUAACUCCUAUCUCAUCUUAUCCCUCUGUGCUGCUUAAUAACAAAGGAUUAUGGAAUAAAUCCUGGAAUUCUGGCAUUUAACCCAAAAGACAUAAUAUGCUUAUUAUCUUACAGAAAGAUUUUUUUGUUUUUGUUUUUGUUUUGAGAACUGGCUGGAGUGGUCCAAAAUCAAAAAAUGAGGGUAACAGGUAGAACUGAGUAUCAGUGAUUCAAUACUCAGUCUACUUCAUCCUUUUUAUUUAAGAGUAUGUAUGCAUUCAGUAUUGUUCCUGAAGCUAUGAGAGAAAGAAAAAAAAUUAAUGAAAACUGUCUUCAUGAUUCAGUUUUUGACUUUUCCUGUAAAAUUUAUCUUCUCCAUCUACAUUUCAAAAAGGGGUUUAGAUAUGAUGACACACAGAGCUACAGUAUUUAAAUCUAGGGGCUGAUUUUCAAGAGCAGUAUUCACUAUGCAGUGUUUCUAACGUCUGAGAUAAUUAUAUUUUUUGGAAGAAGAGCACACAUGAAUGACACAAAAUCCAUCAUGUUCACAGAUGUCAAUUAGUCAAUAGAAAAAAAGACAAAAUGAAAAUGUAACUUCCACUUUUUCAGGUAUAUGGAAUUUUUUAACCCUUGUAAGAGGCAGAAUCCUUUUUGAUGUUAGUAAGAAUCCAGUUUCAUGAAUAUUUAUCUUAAGAAAAAUAUAAAACAAAGCAUUUGGGGUGUGGAAAGCUUUCAAAGUGUGAUCUUAUUCAUAAGACACAUAUCUAUGUUGAUUUUCAGAGAUUCUGAGCUGCUUCUAAUGAGUUUAAUGAUAUCUGUUGCUUCUGCAAUGAACAUGGGAGGUGUGAGUACAUACCUGUCUGUGGGUGAAGGAGAAAAGGGUUAAGUCAUCAUUCAUUCCUUGGAAUAAAGGAAGUCAUUUUAAAAUUUUCUGACAAGCCAAAAGUUGAAUGAUAGGCCUGAACCUGCCUAUUGAAAUGAAGAGUUCAACAGAAAUGCAGUCUUUCAUCAUCAUGAAAGAAAAAGAGGUUAUGAAAAAUUAUUUAUUGCUGCUAUGUUAUAGAAUCAUAGAUUCAUAGAAUAGCUUGGGUUGGAAGGGACCUUAAAGAGUAUUUAGUUGCAAGCACCCUGCUGUGGGCAGGUUUCCCAACAGGUGGUCCACAAUCCCAUCCAGCCUGACUUUGAACACCUCCAGGGAUGGGGCAUCCACAGCCUCUCUGGACAGUCUGUUCCAGUGGCUCACCGCCCUCUGAGUAAAAAAAAUCUCUUCCUAACAUCCAAUCAAAAUUUUCCCUCUUUAGUUUAAAACCAUUCCUCUUUGUCCUACCACUAUCUGACCAUGCAAAAAGUCAGCCAUGUUUCUUUGAUUCUGGGAAUUUAUGCAUUAUAUGUUAUAUGACAUUAAUUAUCAGUUUUGGAAGCCUGUCUUAAUGUUUGAAACAAAAAGAAAAUCUACUCACCUAGCCUCUGUAUUUCCCAAACUAAGGAAUACAUUAGAAAAGACACAAGAUUCUGUGAAAAACAGGAUGCAGAUGGGCAUCCCUGCUUCCUCUUAUCUGCUGGCAAGGCCCGGAAGAUGAUAACAAAGGAAUUUCUGCUGAGAUCCCAGAGGCAGUAGCUGCCACUCCAAGGAGAGCUGACUCAACCACUUUGGAUUCGAGCUGUCACUCAAAAGAGAGCUGACUCGACCACUUUGGACUUAUAAAUAAGUUUGUACUGCCAUCGUUGUCGUCAUCGCUGUGGUCACCAUUGUCAACAGAACACCAGAUGACCCACCACUACUGAAGAUCAAUGACUGAACUACGAACCACGUUGGACCAUGGUGGUGACUAUCUCCCUCCUGCUUCCUAUACGGACUCCUUGCUCCUAUUUCCUAUCUUUUCUAUCGCCCUUCUCCCCUUCCCCAUCUCCCUGAACGACUAGGAUUUGUAAUACACUGGUCAGACCAACAUUUGAACCGUUGUUUGUUAAUCUCAUGCCAGGUAUACACACAUCAAAGAACCUCAUCUCCCUCCGAUAAAUUGGAGAGAGACAAUCAUUUUAUGCUUUUACAGUAUCACAUUAAAAUAAAACAAAAGAAAACUUAUACUGUAUGGAAUGCUGAGGAUAGUCACAAAUAGUCUAUUUGUACUGGCUAGAAAUAAUAAAUACAGUAUUUCU